CUUGAACUUGGUGACAUUUGGCGGAGUCCAGAUUGUAUUUCCAUACCUCUCUCUCAUCAGGGAAACCUUCCAGAUUCAUAUUAUGGAAAAAUUUUGGUGAGUCUGUUCCCAAAGACCUCCCUGGGGAUGGGCUGCAAUGAAACCACGGGCACACGAUGGCUGGAAAUGAGAAGGGCCACGCAGAUGAUACACCCAGAGCUGGUGAGAGGCACAGGGAGGUGCCCAGGAGCAGGAGGAGGAGCAGCUCUGGAUUCAGAGGUGGCACCUUUGUCGGCUGCAAA
rnacentral:lncRNA from 1 species